rnacentral:rRNA from 1 species
GACGUAGGAGGCGAGCGUUGUCCGGAUUCAUUGGGCGUAAAGAGCGCGCAGGCGGCUUGGUAAGUCGGAUGUGAAAACCCGAGGCUCAACCUCGGGCGUGCAUCCGAAACUGCUCGGCUAGAGGUAGGUAGGGGAGAUCGGAAUUCCUGGUGUAGCGGUGAAAUGCGCAGAUAUCAGGAGGAACACCGGUGGCGAAGGCGGAUCUCGUGGGCCUUACCUGACGCUCAGGCGCGAAAGCUAGGGGAGCGAACUGG